UAUAGGGUCAAGUGAAUAAGUGCAUGUGGUGGAUGCCUUGGCGAUUACAGGCGAUGAAGGACGUUGUAGCCUGCGAAAAGCCGCGGGGAGCUGGCAAACAAGCUUUGAUCCGCGGAUGUCCGAAUGGGGAAACCCACCCGCAAGGGUAUCGCUGACUGAAUUCAUAGGUCAGCGAGGCGAACGUGGCGAACUGAAACAUCUAAGUAGCCACAGGAAAAGAAAUCAACCGAGAUUCCGAAAGUAGUGGCGAGCGAAAUCGGAGCAGCCUGUGCGUGAUAGUCGAUUGGCUAGUGGAACGGUAUGGAAAGGCCGGCCAUAGAGGGUGAUAGCCCCUUACACGAAAGCGAAUCGGUGGUACUGAGCGUACGACAAGUAGGGCGGGACACGUGUAAUCCUGUCUGAAGAUGGGGGGACCAUCCUCCAAGGCUAAAUACUCGUAAUCGACCGAUAGUGAACAAGUACUGUGAAGGAAAGGCGAAAAGAACCCCGGGAGGGGAGUGAAAUAGAUCCUGAAACCGCAUGCAUACAAACAGUCGGAGCCUCGCAAGGGGUGACGGCGUACCUUUUGUAUAAUGGGUCAGCGACUUACGUUCAGUGGCAAGCUUAACCAGAUAGGGGAGGCGCAGGGAAACCGAGUCCGAAUAGGGCGCCAUAGUCGCUGGGCGUAGACCCGAAACCAGGUGAUCUAUCCAUGGUCAGGAUGAAGGUUGGGUAACACCAGCUGGAGGUCCGAACCGACUAAUGUUGCAAAAUUAGCGGAUGAACUGUGGAUAGGGGUGAAAGGCUAAUCAAACCUGGAAAUAGCUGGUUCUCCCCGAAAACUAUUUAGGUAGUGCGUCAUGUAUUGCUCCAGGGGGUAGAGCACUGUAAUGGUUGUGGGGGCCAUCGCGGCUUACCACGCCAUAGCAAACUCCGAAUACCUGGAAGUAUGAGCAUGGCAGACAGUCGCCGGGUGCUAACGUCCGGCGGCAAGAGGGAAACAACCCAGACCUACAGCUAAGGUCCCAAAGUGUGGCUAAGUGGGAAACGAAGUGGGAAGGCUAAAACAGUCAGGAUGUUGGCUUAGAAGCAGCCAUCAUUUAAAGAAAGCGUAAUAGCUCACUGGUCGAGUCGUCCUGCGCGGAAGAUGUAACGGGGCUAAGCCAUGCACCGAAGCUUAGGCUGCACUCUUUGAGUGCGGGGUAGGGGAGCGUUCUGUAAGCCUGUGAAGGUGUCUCGUAAGGGAUGCUGGAGGUAUCAGAAGUGCGAAUGCUGACAUGAGUAGCGUUAAAGCGGGUGAAAAGCCCGCUCGCCGUAAGCGCAAGGUUUCCUACGCAACGUUCAUCGGCGUAGGGUGAGUCGGCCCCUAAGGUGAGGGCGAAAGCCAUAGCUGAUGGGAAGCUGGUUAAUAUUCCAGCACCGAUUUCUAGUGCGAUGGGGGGACGGAUCGUGGAAGGUUGUCCGGGUGUUGGAAGUCCCGGUUCCUGACCUGUAGGUGUCUGGUAGGUAAAUCCGCCAGGCGUAUGCCGAGGGGUUGGGACGAGCGAGCUUGCUCGCGAAGCAACUGGAAGUGGUUCCAAGAAAAGCCUCUAAGCUUCAGCUAGAAACGACCGUACCGCAAACCAACACUGGUGCGCGAGAUGAGUAUUCUCAGGCGCUUGAGAGAACUCGGGAGAAGGAACUCGGCAAAUUGACACCGUAACUUCGGAAGAAGGUGUGCCUUGGUAGCUUGAGUGUGAACAACACAAGGGCGAAGAGGUUGCAAAGAAUAGGUGGCUGCGACUGUUUAUUAAAAACACAGCACUCUGCAAACACGAAAGUGGAC
rnacentral:rRNA from 1 species